rnacentral:sRNA from 1 species
AAAACUAGAAACUUCAAAAAAGAUUAAUAUUGACCCAAACUUCAUCAUUGAAUUUUGAGUGUUAUAUCUAAGAUUUCUCUCGCAGUAUAUCGUCCCGUAUUAAUAUCUUUUAUAUUGUUUAAAUUUCUUGUAAAAUUUAAUUUAUAAUUUUUUAAACUUUUUUAAGUUUCAAUUUUUUAAAAUAAAUAACCCUAGUAAACAAACCAUUUUAAUUUUGGACACCUCAUAAAUCAAGUUUCAUGCUCAUUCGUAAUCGAAAUCAUUUUGGUCCUUUUUAUAGUAUGGCUCUUGACCAUUGUCCAAUUUUUUUAAGCGAUGUGGGACAUUCUAAAAUCGUAAUUAUUAUCCACCCAAACCCGUCAUACCAUAUAACCCAGUCCCGUGAAAUUAAACAUAAUUUUGUCAUUUUCUUAUAAAUUUCAAUAUUAUAAAAUUUGAAACUUAAAAAAAUACAAUAUCGACCCAAAAUUCAUCAUUGAAUUUUGAUUGUUAUAUUUAAGAUUUUUUCUGUAAUAUAUCGUCUCGUAUUAAUAUAUUUUUUAUAUAUUUAUAAUGUUAAAUUUCUUGUAAAAUUCAAUUUAUAAUUUUUAAAACUUUAUAA